CGCCGCCGCCACCACCGCCUGCGCCCGGCGUCCGUAGCCCGGAUCGGAGGGGCCAGGGCGAGCGGGGCGAGCGGGGCGGGGGUGCGAGCCGGGAGAGGCACGACCCGGGGCCGUAGGCGGGGUGGUCUUUCCCGCGGAGUGGCCUCCAGAAGACGGAAAGUUUUUGCAUUCAGUCCUUCCAGCGUGUCCUUCCCUCGCCGGCUCCCUGUGGUCCACCGUGAGGCGCCCCCGCGACCGAGAGGGGAGGAGCCGCGCAGGUGUUCCCCCCUGCCCCCCGAUGAGCAUCCCAAUCCAGGGAGGGGACCCUGGUGACCUCUCCUCCCAGCCAUCGCUCCCUUCACCCUUUCUUCUCUGUCUCGGUGGACCUUGGAUCGUGGAGGAUUCCGGGGAUGCCUUUGGGAGCUGACAUCAAUGGGUAGAUGGAAGUGGUUCUAAAAAGCAGAGAGCUGUGAUAACACAAGGGAGUCGUGUCAACCUUGUCUCACGCACCGCUGAACUCCAGUGACACCAGCAGCUUGCAUCCCGACAGAUGGGGUGUUAUUACUGCACCGCCAGGGAGGCUGCCCAGGGCUGGACGGCGCUGCCCCGAAGGUGCUUUGUUCGCAGCGUGGGGCAGCUUGACCUGAGUGAAGGCAGCAAACACGCAUCAAGUUGGACCUCCCAGCCAGUGUCAGUGACACAGUGGUUCUCAAAAGCCAGCCUGUGUCUGAGUCACCUGGAGGGCUUGUUGAAACAUAGAGUUUCAACCCCCCUGAGACUCUGGUUCAAUAAAUUUGGGGGGGCAGGGAUGGUGAUUUUGCACUUCUGGCAAGUUCCUAGGUGCUGCUAGGUUGGGAGAUCACACUCUGAUGUUUUAUUUUUUUAUUUAUUUUUGAGAGAGACAGAGUGUGAGUGGGGGAGGGGCAGAGAGAGAGAGAGAGAGAGAGAGAGAGAAUCUGAAGCAGGCUCCAGACCCUGAGCUGUCGGCACAGAGCCUGAUGUGGGGCAUGAACUCAUGAACCGUGAGAUCGCCACCUGAGCCGAAGUCAGGUACUUAACCAACUGAGCCACCCAGGCAUCCCAGGAGAUCACUCUUUGAAAACUACACGUCUACUCCAAGCCUUGGCUCUCCCAAGCUCUUCCUCUCCAGGUCUUCUGUGCCCUAAAGGACUUCAGAUUUGGGGAGAAGAGUGAAUGGAAGCCAGAAGAUGGAGACAACCCAAAUAUCCAUCAACAGAUGAAUGGAUAAGCAAAAUGUGGUAUAUCUGUACAAUGGAAUACUAUUCAGCCAUAGAAAAGAAUAACAAGUAUUUUUUACAUGUUACACAUGUUACAUGUAUGUUAUACAUGUUACAAUAUGGAUGAACCUUCUUUCAUUAUGCUAAAUGAAAGAAGCCAGGACCACACACUGCAUGAUUCCAUUUAUAUAAGAUGCCCAGAAUAAGCAAAUUCAUAGAGACAGGAGGCAAAUUGGUGGUUGCCAGCAGGUGGGAGGGAAUGGGGGGUUGACUGCUUAUUGGGUUUCCGUUUGGGAUGACGCAAACGCUCUGGAACUAGUCAGUGGUGAUGGUUCUACAACACUGUGAAUGUACUUAAUACAAUUGACCGCACACUUUACAAUGAUUAAAAUGGUCCAUUUUAUGUCAGGUGUACUUCACUGCAAUAAAAGAAUUUAAAAAGUGAA